rnacentral:misc_RNA from 1 species
UUGUGGAGGAGGACGCCGAAGGUGGGGCUAAUGACUGGGGUGAAGUCGUAACAAGGUAGCCGUACCGGAAGGUGCGGCUGGAUCACCUCCUAACAGGGAGACAACAAAAUGUAAAUAUUAAUUUUGUUACCUUAGGUCGAUCGGUAUCUCAGAUUCUUAUUUUUUAAGAAUUUCAGUUUCUAAGUUUUUUCUAGGUCACACCCAUCACUUUUUCCUGGGCCAUUAGCUCAGGUGGUUAGAGCGCACCCCUGAUAAGGGUGAGGUCCCUGGUUCAAGUCCAGGAUGGCCCAUAUCUCUAUGUUGGGGGUAUAGCUCAGUUGGUAGAGCGCCUGCUUUGCAAGCAGGAUGUCAGCGGUUCGAGUCCGCUUACCUCCACUGAAUACCACCUCUUACAUAUUUAAAGAGGGAGAUUGUUUUGAGUCGUGUCCUAAUUUGCUCUGAGCGAAUCUAGCUUCCUAUUUUAUUCAAUAAAUAAGAUGCUGGACUCAUUGAAUUUUUUUUCAUUGUUUUCAGAGAACCUUGACAACUGCAUAGAUUAUUUUUGAAGACAAUAAGCAUCUUUAAUGAUGCAGAUUUAUUAUUUAUGCGAAUGCAUUAAAUAGCAAUUCUAUUAAGCUGAUGCUUCAAUUAUUGAAGUUAUUGGUCAAGCUACAA